UUUGUUUAGAAGCAAAUUCAGUACUACACUAACUUAAUAUUUGUCUAUAUAAUAUUAUAAAGUAUCAUUUAGGAACUAAAAAUAUUUUCUAAAUUUGGUACUAGCAGCAAUUUUAUAUAACUUUGUAUGUUUACAAUGUUUAAAAAUUGAAAUUUUAGAUAUUUUUAAACAAUAUUAGUUUUAUUUUAUACUAAAUAUUAAAAUUUAUCUUAAACAUCUUUAUCU
rnacentral:lncRNA from 1 species